rnacentral:rRNA from 1 species
UACCUGCAGCUCGAGUGGUAACCGCUUUUAUUGGGCCUAAAGCGUCCGUAGCCGGUUUGGUAAAUAUCUGGGUAAAUCGUGAGGCUUAACUUCACGAAUUUCGGAUAGACUGCCAGACUUGGGAUCGGGGGAGGUCAGAGGUACUCCAGGGGUAGCGGUGAAAUGUUGUAAUCCUUGGAGGACCACCGGUAGCGAAGGCGUCUGACUAGAACGAGUCCGACGGUGAGGGACGAAGCCCUGGGGCGCAAACCGGAUUAGAUACCCGGGUAGUCCAGGGUGUAAACAAUGUGGGCUUUGUAUUGGAGGUCCUACGUGGGCGUCCAGUGCAGAAGAGAAGUUGUUAAGCCCACCGCCCGGGAAGUACGGUCGCAAGGCUGAAACUUAAAGGAAUUGGCGGGGGAGCACAGCAACGGGAGGAGCGUGCGGUUU